rnacentral:rRNA from 1 species
GUUUGAUACCCCGAAACUACGUGAGCUACUUCAAGACAGCCUAUUAAUAGGGCUAACCCAUCUCUGUGGCAAAAGCGUGGGAAGAACUUUGAGUAGAGGUGACAAACCUACCGAACCUAGUUAUAGCUGGUUGUCCAAGAAAUGAAUAAAAGUUCAGCCUCUAAGCUUCUCCUUUCACCUGAACUUAACCCCUUUAGAUGUAUUAAAGAAACUAAGAAAGUUAAUCAAAGGAGGUACAGCUCCUUUGAAUCAAGACACAACUUUAACAGGCGGGUAAAGAUCAUAAUAACCAAAGCUAGACAUUCUGGUGGGCCUAAAAGCAGCCAUCCCUUAGAAAGCGUUAAAGCUCAAACAUAUUACUUAUACCUUCUUAUCCUGAUCAAUAAAUCUCACCCCCCUAACCAUACUGGACCCUCCCAUGCCCCCAUGGGUGUGAUUAUGCUAAUAUGAGUAAUAAGAGAGCCCGCCUCUCUCCCUGCACACGUGUACCUCGGAACAGACAACCCACCGACCAUUAACGACCCCAAACAAAGAGGGCAGUAAAUCAUAAACUAAAAUCAAGUAAAACAUUUAAAAAUUAACCGUUAACCCCACACAGGUGUACCCCAAGGAAAGACCUAAAGAAAGAGAAGGAACUCGGCAAACACAUAAAGUCUCGCCUGUUUACCAAAAACAUCGCCUCUUGUACCCCCC